AUUGAACGCUGGCGGCAGGCCUAACACAUGCAAGUCGAGCGGAGCGGCGGCCGGGUGAGUAAUGCCUAGGAAUCUGCCUGGUAGUGGGGGAUAACGUCGGGAAACGGGUGCUAAUACCGCAUAUUUUAAGAUGAGCCAAGGUGGGAUUAGCUAGUUGGUUGGGUAAAGUCUCGCCAAGGCAACGACCCGUAGCUGGUUUGAGAGGACGAUCAGUACCUCUGGAACUGAGACACGGUCCAGACUCCUACGGGAGGCCGCAGUGGGGAAUAUUGGACAAUGGGCUAAAGCCUGAUCCAGCCAUGCCGCGUGUGUGAAGGAGGUCUUCGGAUUGUAAAGCACUUUAAGUUGGGAGGCGUUACCAACAGAAUGAGCACCAGCUAACUUCGUGCCAGCAGCCGCGGUAAUAC
rnacentral:rRNA from 1 species